UGCAGGCUUAUCGAUCAUAUCCAUAAGCUUUUCAUGCAUGAGAACAAUUCUCAAAUUUCUAUACCAGUCAUCAAAGUUUGGUCCUACCAAUUUUUUGGUCUCAAGUAUUUCACACAGUGAUAUAACAGACAUAUUGAGAAAUCUAAAAUAUAGAAAAGAAAGAGAAAAGCAGUAAUAUAAGAACAUAUUUGCAUAUAUCAUAAAGGCAUGGACCUUUAUCUAAAUGAUAUUUCCACUAAUUAUUUUAAACUAUUUACCCUCAUUAUAGUUUACGAAAUCUUUAUUGCUUUUAGUGGAGUAAAGGAAUCCUUUAACAAUAUUUAUGAGCCCCUUGGUAAUCAAGUCGUUUCUCACUUAUAUUUUAAAGGUAGGUACUCUUACCANNNN
rnacentral:lncRNA from 1 species